UCCGUUAUCUGUGGAGGAUCCUUCGGCCAAUAGAGAAGAGGAAGGGGCCGACUUAGGUUAUGUUAACUUGAGUGGAGAUUACAGGAUUUUAAUUAAUUAAUAAUAUUCGGAUUAAACUUGGAAGUGAGUAAGAUCACAAUGGAAUUGGAAUCUGCUCUAAAAAUUAUAGAAAUUUUGAAGGAAGAGCUGGGCAGUGCGGUUGCAUUGUCUAGUGCUAAUAAAAGUGUCAUACAAAAUAAUGAAAAUGGAUCUCAAAUAUGUCCAAGUGAAAAAAACUGGAUCCAAAUACAAAGAAAUCAGCAAAUGAAGAUAACAGAUAAGUUAAAAGACCACGAGGAAACAUAUGUAACAACAAGUAAUCAUUUUGAAAUUUUAUCUAACCUCAGUGAGGUUAUUAAGUCUACUGAAGCAACAAAGGAAGAAAUUCUCAAACCAAGUAAAACUGUACAAAAUAAUAUCAACAAAAGUAAUUUUCAAGCAAGAGACAGUAAAUACAAGGCUGAUGCAAAAGGACAGAUGAUUAAUAAUAUUUCAGUGAUAAUAAAUGGUCUAGUAACAUCUAAUAACAAUAAAGUUCUGAACAGUGACAUCUUGCAUUCAUAUGACGGUGAGGAAACCGUUGAGGCUAAUGCAAGGAAUAAGAAAGAGGCUCCCAAGGAGAAAGUUGCUGUUCAGCAGCAAGUGCUUCAAAGAACAAAGGAAACCACACUAUAUUAAUUAUUGGAAACAGCCAUGUAAGGAGAUGUGCAAGUAAACUGAGAGAAAAUCUUGAUAAAACUUAUAAGGCCUGUGACUCACCAGCAUGAGACCUCAAGGGACUUGUCUGCCAUAAGAGCAAGGAGCUGUUGCUGUGCAUUCGUAGCAAGCAAGUUACAGCGUUUCUCUGACAUCCAUUUUGCUGCUCUAUCAUCCAUGCUUGGCUCUUUCAGAUAGCCUUUUCUCUUGAGGUUAUGCCAUAAAAAUCUGGGCAUGUCAAGACUGAAGCGAAAAUCUGUGUAUGUCAAGACUGAAGUGAAAAUCUGGGCAUGUCAAGACAGAAGUGAGAAUCUUUGCAUGUCAAGACUGAAGUGAAAAUCUGAGCAUGUCAAGACUGAAGUGAAAAUCUAUGCAUGAAGUGAGAAUCUGAGCAUGUUAAGACUGAAGUGAAAAUCUAUGCAUAUCAGAGCAGAAGUUAAAAUCUGUGCAUGUCAAGACUGAAGUGAAAAUCUGUGCAUGUCAGGACUGAAGUGAAAAUCUGGGCAUGUCAAGACUGAAGUGAAAAUCUGAGCAUGUCAAGACUGAAGUGAAAAUCUAUGCAUGACAAGACUGAAACAUGGCAGGAAGAUAAUAUUACAAUAUUACAGGAAGAAAUAUCAGUUUGAUGUGUGCCGCCAUGUCAGACUGAUACUUAUUUGUUCGACAAACUGCCUCUCUUGCUUUACUAUGUUUGCAUGUAGGAGGAUAACACAUAUGCAUAAUAUCAUCUGACUUUGUGUUUUGCUUUGAUGCUGUCUGUGUGCGGCAUCGGUUACUAUUCACUUGCUAUUCUUUGUUGCCGCUACAUGUUUCGGCCUAACUGAUGGUCAUCAGGUGUACAGACUGUUGUGAUCAUAGAACCUGCUGCUUACCGUGAUGCUGUUCUGUUUCUGUAAAUGUAGAGGACUCGGAUUGCAUCUGGUUAUGUGGGUUAGUCAUCUGUUUUUUGUUUAGGUGUCCUUGAGCUGCUGGUGUUUGCUUCAUGGUUUUGUUUGGCUGUGGCUGUCUUGAAUGUUCUUGCUGGGGCAGGAAUUUGUUUUGUUGAUGGCCAGCUAGUGCACAACAGACAUGGGCAGCUCAAGGACACCUAAAUAAACAACAGAUGGUUAACCUAGAUGCAAUCCAAGGCCCCCACAUAACAGAAACAGAACAGCAUUACAGUAAGCAGCAGGUUCCUUCAUCACAACAACCUGUACACCUGAAGAUGACUGUCAGUUAGGCUGAAACAUAUAGUGAUGACAAAGAGAAAACUAUGAGAGAAUAGUAACCGAUGUGUAACACAGAUGGCAUCAAAGCAAAGUGCAAAGUCAGAUCUAAGCAGUGCAACAGGAUGCGGCAAUAUAACAUUAUGCCUGAUAUCAGUUUAUGUGAAAUUCAUUCAUGGUCUUCUGGCUUAUGGCAUGGUUACCAAAGUUUUCUGCUGGUCUGUUGAAGCCAGGGGCAGUAUGUUCGCUGGUAACCAUCUACCAAGCAACACACUGUCAUAACUUAGGAGACCAGAAUAAGAUUUUUCACCAUUGUGAAAGAUUUAAAUCUGAUAAUGUGUAAACUUGUUUGUAUAUUCAAAUCUGGUGGAUACUGUAAGGAAGUAAUCACUAAAUCACAGGAGUUCUGUUUUUCCGUAUAAAGAAAAGAACUUGAGAGGUAAAGUUAUCCCUGUAACAGGCUGCGGAGGCCCCUAGGGUUGUCAGAUGUCGAGGGUCCCACAUUU